rnacentral:rRNA from 1 species
AGCGAACGCUGGCGGCGUACUUAACACAUGCAAGUCGAACGAGGAUCGCUACGUGAGCAAUCAUGCGGCGGUUCUAGUGGCGUACGGGUGAGUAACACGUGGGCAACCUGCCCUGGAGCCUGGGAUACCCUCUCGAAAGGGAGGCUAAUACCGGAUACGUUCCCCGGUCGCGAGAUCUGGGGAGGGAAAGGUAGGCGCAAGCUGCCGCUCUUGGAGGGGCGUCGCGGCCAUCAGCUAGUUGGUGAGGUAAUGGCUCACCAAGGCUAUGACGGGUAGCUGGUCUGAGAGGAC